GUGGGGAAUAUUGGGCAAUGGAGGCAACUCUGACCCAGCAAUGCCGCGUGAAUGAAGAAGGUCUUCGGAUUGUAAAGUUCUUUAAUUAGGGACGAAAAAAAUGACGGUACCUAAGGAAUAAGCCACGGCAAACUAUGUGCCAGCAGCCGCGGUAAUACAUAGGUGGCAAGCGUUGUCCGGAAUGACUGGGCGUAAAGGGAGCGUAGGCGGUCUGUUAAGUUGGAAGUGAAAUCCCGGGGCUCAACCCCGGAACUGCUUUCAAGACUGACGGACUUGAGUGUAAGAGGGGUAAGCGGAAUUCCUAGUGUAGCGGUGGAAUGCGUAGAUAUUAGGAGGAACACCAGUGGCGAAGGCGGCUUACUGGAUUAUAACUGACGCUGAGGCUCGAAAGCGUGGGUAGCAAACAGGA
rnacentral:rRNA from 1 species